AACAAUAAUUGAAUAGCACAUGUUGUUUACAAUUUUAGUAAUAAGUUUUCUCAUUGCAAAUCCAUUACCAACCAGGAGACCAGUGCUUGUAUAGGAGCAGUCGCAGGGCAAACAUCAGUUUUUAUUAACACAUGAUUUAUAUACCAUUAAUAAUCCAGGAUGUGUACAGGUAUCAAACGUAGAGCAGAGUUCAAGUUGGAUUAGCCACAGGUGUGGAGAGGUACUCAUACAUUUCAGCAGGCAUAGAAUUAUUGAGAUUGAAGAGUUUACUAGCUUUAUUCCUGUUUAAGUAUUCAGCAGAUGAACCAGAACUGGUUACAUACAUAGGAGCCGUAUAAGUUUGAUUGAGCACAGUUGUGUAGGAUAGGCAGCAGAGAAAACAUCAAUCAAGGUUGGAAGGCAGAUAUAUGAGCAGUAGGUGGUCUCCGAUUUGUUUCUGAUUGAGAAAAUAGUAUGCAUUUGGGAUCCAACUGUAGAGCAGACAUCAGGAUGGAUUAAUAGCAGGUAUGAAAGCGGCAAGGAUGACGCUAAAAACAGGACGUGAUUAGCCAGGGUCAACAAUGUCCGGCAUAGUGGAAUGACUGUUCUCCAAAUCUGGUGACGAUGAACGGGAUACAUGAUAAUUAGUACUCCAAAUAGCCGCUAUGGCAGGAUUAGCUAAUGUGUGAUGAUCAGGCAAGCGUGGCCAAAGGCAGGUUACCGGAGGAACGUAAGACAAAGCAGUAUUUAUGGUAUCAAAGUUUCAAUCUGGAAAGCCUAUCAUCUAGUUGCUGCUCAGGAGUAGGUGGCGGAAUCUCACUCGGAGAAAGUGGAGUCAUGAUAAGACGUUGGAUGUAUUCUGGUUGGUAUUUAAUUUUCUGCGCUGUUUCCCAGCGCGUAGAAACACCGCUGCGGAGUUUACGUGAUAGAGUGUUUACCCAAAACAUCGAGGGGCGCAGCAAAGGAUCGCGUUCAAGUUCUAGGCGUUCUCUCUCUUCACGAGCUUCAGUAGCCAAUCUUUCUUUAAGCCUAUUUUGUAUAUCUGUUUGUUGUAGUUCAAAACGUAUUAAAGUAGGGAAUGGAUAGUCAGGAGUAGCAGGAGA